GAUGAACGCUGGCGGCGUGCCUAAUACAUGCAAGUCGAGCGAACAGACGAGGAGCUUGCUCCUCUGACGUUAGCGGCGGACGGGUGAGUAACACGUGGAUAACCUACCUAUAAGACUGGGAUAACUUCGGGAAACCGGAGCUAAUACCGGAUAAUAUAUUGAACCGCAUGGUUCAAUAGUGAAAGACGGUUUUGCUGUCACUUAUAGAUGGAUCCGCGCCGCAUUAGCUAGUUGGUAAGGUAACGGCUUACCAAGGCGACGAUGCGUAGCCGACCUGAGAGGGUGAUCGGCCACACUGGAACUGAGACACGGUCCAGACUCCUACGGGGGGCAGCAGUAGGGAAUCUUCCGCAAUGGGCGAAAGCCUGACGGAGCAGCGCCGUGUGAGUGAUGAAGGUCUUCGGAUCGUAAAACUCUGUUAUUAGGGAAGAACAAAUGUGUAAGUAACUAUGCACGUCUUGACGGUACCUAAUCAGAAAGCCACGGCUAACUACGUG
rnacentral:rRNA from 1 species